AGCAAAAUUGCAUUGCAAAAUCUGUCAAAUAAAGCAAUAAAUAAAUUUACACGAUUCCAAAAUGGUGAAGGUAAAAAGAAUAAAAAGAGAAGGUCUAGGAAAAAACGAGCUCAUUUAUCAUCUAAACAAGGACGCAAACAUACGCAGUCGAGACCAAUAAAGAAAAAAUCCUCCAAGAUAUUAAAUAUAAAAGAUAUUUUUUCGAAAUCAAAAUGACCACCCAUAUAGAAUGUAUGAAAAGCGAAUUGGAUCUGUUUGAACCACAUCCCACACAAAGCUCUAUUCUGAGAACUGAAGAAGUUUCAUACAAUCCCAUAGCUUCAUUGGACAGUGCCUCUUCAAUUGAAUUCGAUUGCUUAGGAAAUGGUGAAACAUAUCGAGAUCUGUCAAGUGUUUACUUAAGACUUGUUGUACAACUAAGAAAAAAUGAUAAUGGAAGCAUUGAAGGAGACAAUGUUGGAGUAGUGAAUAAUAUUUUACAUUCAAUGUUCAGAAAUCGUAUUUGCAAACGAUUUUAAACUAUGGUAGUGACGCCACUGAAAGUCACUUAACCACUCAAGGCUAUUAUCCUAACUAUGUAAUAAGGUUGAACUUUUUGGAAAA